UGGGGAAUAUUGCGCAAUGGGCGAAAGCCUGACGCAGCGACGCCUCGUGAGGGAUGAAGGUCUUCGGAUCGUAAACCUCUGUCAAGAGGGAAGAAACCUUUGGAUUCGAACAGGGUCUAAAGCUGACGGUACCUCUAAAGGAAGCACCGGCUAACUCCGUGCCAGCAGCCGCGGUAAUACGGAGGGUGCAAGCGUUAAUCGGAAUCACUGGGCGUAAAGCGCUCGUAGGCUGUUUGGUAAGUCAGACGUGAAAGCCCACGGCUUAACCGUGGAACUGCGUUUGAUACUGCCAGACUUGAGUGUCGGAGAGGGUGGCGGAAUUCCGGGUGUAGGAGUGAAAUCCGUAGAUAUCCGGAGGAACACCAGUGGCGAAGGCGGCCACCUGGACGACAACUGACGCUGAGGAGCGAAAGCGUGGGUAGCAAACA
rnacentral:rRNA from 1 species